CGUUAUCAUGAUAGAGUCUGCAGAUGCAGAGGCUGCAGGUCCUGGGGUCAAGCAGGAGAGGUCUGAAGGAGAGGAGGACCCACGGCACAGCAGAGACACCCAGACUCAAGCGGCUGUAGAGCCCCAUGUAGCCACAAAGGACCCCACCACCAUCGCCCCAGCGCCGCCCAGCACCCGACGCAGAAUCACGGAGAUGGAGUUUCACAAUGGGUGAACCCUGUCUGCCUGACCCUCUGACUGGACCGGUGAAGGUAAUGGUGGAGAAGUGGGGCAGGAACAUUCUGGAACAGGUACCGCUCUGACACAAGGUAGCAGAUUUUCCCUUGAAAGGCACAUUAAGUGAGGUUUUGUUAGCAGAAUGUAGAAAGAAGUUACAGGACUUCGAGAGAUAGGCAAGUAGAAUAGACUGGGAUGAUUUUAGGAAGUGGGAAGGAGAAGCAGAGAAGGGCAGACAAGAAAAUUAAAGGAAUAAUGGUGAAUGAGAAGGAAAAACAAUGACUUUCCACCUCCCUAUUAUACCCCUGUAUCCACUGCACCAGCACCCACCCUGGUUGUCCAACAGCAGCCCGCUCAGCCGCCGCAGCUCUACUCCUAACAAGACCUGAUAAGACUGCAGGACCGUCAGACCCCUCAGAGGCAGCCCCAGAGCAGUAGGAACCAGUUCUACACACCGCCUACAACGACUCCCGUUUCACUGUAGGACUACAGGCAUAGAUUGGAGAACUGUUUCCGCAAACACAGUGGCAUCAGACCAGCAACAGGCGGUCAUUGAACACUGUAAACACGCUGAGAGGCAGCAACUGUCUCAAGAAGAUAAGAUGAAACAGAGAAUGGAAAAGGAGGAAUGCACAGCUGGCAUUCUCAAGGACAGGGCCAGCAGCGGCAGGCUCAGGGAGGGCCUCAAAACGAUGGACAGAGAGGAAAAGGAAGAGGUAGAGGGAGAGGAGGAGGGGGAGACAGUGCUGACGGACGGGCCGGACGACAGCAACCACAGGGUAGGAACUUUGCCUGCUAUAAUUGUGGAAAGAGUGGACAUUUUGCAAAAGACUGCAAUAACGGAUCGGGUGGGGCAGGGCGAGGGGGAGGUAACUGCAGAACAGGACCGCCACCGAAAACGACCCUUUACAACCCACAUACAGAUUGACACGAGGUUGAGACAGUUGACACCCUUGGACAGCAUUUAAAGAUUUUUUCAAGCACCCGUGAAGAGCCAAUGUUUCAUCUCUUCGUCAAUGGGGAGUCAAUAGAAUUUCUAGUAGAUACUGGCGCUGCAAUGUCUGUGAUAAAUUCUAAAACUAUGUCCAAUCCUCCCAUGUCAAAUGAAUCAGUCAGCACUGUGGGGGCCUCGGGAGUAAUUAUGAAAAGAGUUACUCACGAUGCCCCUGCCGGUUAAAAUUGAUGAUAUGUGCAGGACACAUUUCAAUUUAUUGCCUCUGCAUGUUGCCCUGUAAAUUUGGCAGGAAGUUGGGAAUUAAUGUUAUUUUAUCCAAACGUGUGAUUGGUACUAUGCAUGGAACAUACAGGACAUUGACAGAUCAAAUUGUGACCCAAUUGAAGAGAUUUUCUCAACGGCCCGUAGCUGUUGGAAAAAGAAAGACAGUUUUAUGCCACAGACAGACCUACAUUGCACCGCCAAUUUCUCACCAUUGACGAGAGAUUUACACUGAGAGAUUUACACUUUGAGAGAUUUAUAUUAUGAACAGAACUGGCUGAUAGGAACCACACCCCAAGAGAGCUUACUAUGCAGUGAUACUCACGACGUUCAGAUUAUAGUGGGCCUCAGUUUUGUUUUGUGCUUAGUAUUAAGAUGUAAAAAAAAAUUGUUGCCUGGGAGGAUACUGAUGUUUGGUUUGAAGUCUGUCUUGCAGGUCACUGACUGGGAACUUAGAGCGGAUGGGUCUAAAUUCUCCCCCGCACACAUACUUGGUGUGGGCUGCAGUUCAACCAGGCGUACAAUGGCCUUGAUAGCACCAAACCAACUAAGCAGAUGGUUUCCGUGGAGACUGAGUCACCAUUGCUGGCUGGUCUCCCAGACUCUCUGUGGGCUGAAGAUUAGUGUGACACUGGGCGAAUGAGGGGGGUGAAACCGCUUACGUCACACCUAAGAGCACACAGACCCAGCCAGGCCCAGUAUCCUGAGUCAGGAGGCAGUGCAGGGGAUUACCCCUGUUCAUGCUUUAUUGGUAGAGAGAGGAGCAAUUGUGCCUUGUUCAGACUCUCCCUGCAACACCCCCAUUCUUCCUGUCCGGAAAGCCUCGGGUGAUUGGCGUUUUGUUCAAGAUCUUACAGUUAAUACAGUAUGUCGACGACCUGUUACUGUGUUCUGAAACCCAACAAGCAUGCAAAAUCGACACCAGAGCUCUGUUAGUGUUCCUUGCUGAAAAGGUUUCUAAGAAAAAAAGCUGCAGCUUGUGUCUCAAUCCGUCAAGUAUCUAGGACAUGAUAUUACACCAAAUGGUAGGAAAUUGGGUCUAGAGCAGGGGUGUCAAACUCAUUUUAGCUCAGGGGCCACAUGGAGGAAGAUCUAUUCCCAAGUGGGCCG